GAAGAAGAGUACCUAAUCGGGAUUUUGGAUUUUCCAGAAUCCGGUGAACAUUCUGGUGAGGGAUGUGUUUUCCUGCAAGGUAUUCCCAAAUUCUGGCAACCUGCAAAUUUCUCAAACGGCUCCAAAUUUCAUACUCAAGGAAAAUGUAGAAGUAAAGGGGUGGUGACCUGAAGCAGUGAAGAAACGCUUCAAUGGUGGUGGAAAUCGCAGAUGGAUGUGACUCGGUUACUCAAAGUUUCUUCAUCAUAAAGAAGCUUUGUUUUCAGUUCUCUUUUCUUAUUUUGGUAAAAUUUGUGGUUGUAAAUUAUGUAUUAUCUCUUAGGCUUUAUAGUGCAAGAUUUUGUUAGAACUUCAAGUGCGUGGAGUAUGUACAGUGUGUGAGAUUUUUGGUGAGAAUUGAGAAAAAAUCAUUUGAAGUCUGUUGCAAAUGUGUGUGGAUUAGGAUGACGGAUUUGUGUGUCUAUAUAUGAGAGAGAGAGAGAGAGGAUUAUGUGGGAUUUGGAUAAGAAUAGUGUGAGGAGUGAGGAGAAAUUCGUGUGAGUUUGUUGUAAAUUUGUGUGAAUGUGUGAAGGCGAUGAAAGAGAGAUCAUUAUGAGCAUGUGAAGGUGGGAUUCCCUAGUCUAAACCAUGUGAAUUAAUUUGUUGUAAAAUUCAUGUGUAAUAGUGAUAUAUGUACAUGAUGGAAUGAAAUGUUUCAUUGACUUUUAUUUGACUUUUGGUGUACGUAUGUGACGAAUGGUAUGAUGUAAUGUAUUAUGUAUGUGACAAUCAAUAAAAUGUAAUAUUUUGUA